GGAUGUAAGGAGAGAAGUAAAAAUAUUGCGCGCUUUAACAGGACAUAGGAAUCUGGUUCAAUUCUAUGAUGCCUAUGAGGACGAGGAAAAUGUUUAUAUAGUCAUGGAGUUAUGUAAAGGAGGAGAAUUGCUGGACCGGAUACUUGCAAGGGGUGGGAAAUACUCGGAAGACGAUGCCAAAGCUGUCAUGGUACAACUUCUAAGCGUGGUCUCGUAUUGUCAUCUUCAACGGGUUGUUCAUCGCGACCUAAAGCCUGAGGUAAUGGAGUUAU